UGAUCUGUAGCUCAAUCGGUAGAGCAGCGGUCUCCAAAGCCGCGUGCUGCAGGUUCGAGUCCUGCCGUGCCUGC
rnacentral:tRNA from 1 species